UGGAGUCAUGGAAUAGGGGGUGUUGGAAGGGAUCCUAUAGGUUGUGGAGCAAUGGGAUCACUGCAUGGGGGGGUUGGUGGGACCUCAAUGACCAUAGAGCUAUAGGAUCAUAGCAUGGGGGGGUUGGAGGAGACAUAAAGGAUUGCGGAGUUGUGGAGGUGUUGGAAGGGAUCCUAUAGGUUGUGGAGCAAUGGGAUCACAGCUUGGUGGGGUUGGUGGGACAUCAGUGACCACAGAACUAUGGGAUCAGAGCAUGGGGGGGGGUUGGUGGGACCUCAAUGACCAUAGAGCUGUAGGAUCAUAGCAUGGUUGGGUUGGAGGAGACGUAAUGGAUCAUGGAGUCAUGGAAUAGGGGGCAUUGGAAGGGAUCCUAUAGGCUAUAGAGCAAUGGGAUCACAGCAUGGGGGGGUUGGUGGGACCUCUAUGACCAUAAAGCUAUAGGAUCACGGCAUGGUGGGGUUGGAGGAGACAUAAAGGAUCGCGGAGUUGUGGAAUAGGGGGCAUUGGAAGGGAUCCUAUAGGCCAUGGAGCGAUGGGAUCACAGCAUGGGGGGGUUGGAGGAGACAUAAAGGAUCACGGAGUCAUGGAAUAGGGGGUGUUGGAAGGGAUCCUAUAGGCUAUAGAGCAAUGGGAUCACAGCAUGGGGGGGUUGGUGGGACCUCAAUGACCUCAGAGCAAUGGGAUCACAGCGUGGUGGGGUUGGGAGGGACCUCAAAGAUCACGGAAUGGGGGGAUUGGAAGGGAUCCUAUAGGUCAUAAAGCAAUGGGGUCAUAUCGUGGUUGGGUUCGAGGGGACAUAAAGGACCAUGGAUGGUGGGGGUGGGAGGGAUCCUAUGGGUCAGAGCAAAGGGAGCACAGCAUGUGGGGCCGGAGGGGACCUAAAGGGGCGCGGAGUGAUGGGAUGGGGGCGUUGGAGGGGAUGCCGGGGGUCAGAACUGUGGGGUCACAGCACGGCUGCGUCGGAGGGGACGGAGCUCAGCGUCACCGCGGGUUGGGGACACUCAGCGGUGUCACUGCAUUGGGGACACAUUGUGGUGUCACACUGUUGGGGACACAUUGGUGUCACUGCUGGGGACACAUUGGUGUCACACUGUUG
ensembl:lncRNA